rnacentral:lncRNA from 1 species
CUAGAGGUGCUAGAAUGGUUGAAUUCCUCAGCAUUUGCAGGGCUUACUUUCCUCUUAUAAGGUGCGUUUGCCGGAUAUACGUCGAUGGUUUCUGUCAAGAUAAGAGACUCAGAAGUGAAAGAAUCUGCAACUACUGAAGCAUCAGUUUCAUGGCUCUCAUUCCUAGUAUCAAUAAAAGAUUAACCAAUGACCAUCCAUAUUGAACGGAGUUAAGGAUCUUGUCACGUUUUCCACUAUAUGCAAACUUAUAGAAGAUUUGGACCCUGGUAAACCAUCUGAUAAUUUCAUACAUGUAGUUGAAAAUGUGCCUCCGGUAUGUACAUACCGAAGGUUUAAAAUGUGAAAAUUUAAAAUGCACUACCGGUAUGUAACUACCGGAUGUAUUAUAAAGGUUAUUUUUGUAUUUUUAGGGGACCUAAAGAGAUAUUGGGGG